CGAAAGCAAGCAAAGUGCUGAGGAUGACACUGUUCUGGGACCCAGCAAAACACAYUGAUGAAAGGAUGUAAGCGGUCAUUGGCAAAGCAGAAUUUCCCCAGAGGCUGGUGACCAUUUCUCUUGGAUGGAUAUACACUGGACAGGCUGCUUUGAAAGUCCCAUCUUCCCUCAUCCUCCUUGCUGCAUUACUGAGCAUCUGACUACGAGUCCCUCUGUGUCACCGCCAUCUGUUAGACCUUCACUUCACCUUGCCAGUCCUCUUCUUGGUGSCUUUUUUUCAGGUUAGCAAGGUAAACUUGGCUUUUAAACUAUUUAAACAUUGCCUUGAUGGAUUUUUCAUUUUUUAUGUUAAGU
rnacentral:lncRNA from 1 species